rnacentral:rRNA from 1 species
GACGAACCGUGCGAACGUUGUUCGGAUUCACUGGGCUUAAAGGGCGCGUAGGCGGGCGACCAAGUCGGGGGUGAAAUCUUUCGGCCCAACCGGAAAAGGGCCCCCGAUACUGGCCGCCUCGAGGGGGGUAGGGGCAUGCGGAACUUCCGGUGGAGCGGUGAAAUGCGUAGAUAUCGGAAGGAACGCCGGUGGCGAAAGCGGCGUGCUGGACCCCUUCUGACGCUGAGGCGCGAAAGCCAGGGGAGCAAACGGG